UUAUUGAGAGUUUGAUCCUGGCUCAGGACGAACGCUGGCGGCGUGCCUAAUACAUGCAAGUCGAACGCACUUUCUUUCACCGGAGCUUGCUCCACCGAAAGAAAGUGAGUGGCGGACGGGUGAGUAACACGUGGGCAACCUGCCCAUCAGAGGGGGAUAACACUUGGAAACAGGUGCUAAUACCGCAUAAUUUG
rnacentral:rRNA from 1 species